rnacentral:lncRNA from 1 species
UGGAAUCAGAAGGAUUUGCAAUUUGUAUAAAUGAAUGUUUCUUUUACUCAGUUUACUUGCAAAACAGUGCCUGACUCAGUUUCACCAAGUAAUAGUGAAACCUUUGUCGAGUUGGAAAGUACUCGCCUUUCAAAGAAGAACCACAGAGCUCUUUUGAGACCAUGAAAUGUGUUUCCUGAUGAGCGUCUCAGAAUCUAUGCUAACAUAGGUAACACCAAAGGAUGGUUCAUUACGUUGCCCCAUUGCAGAGAUCCAGAGUGCUCAUGGACAGGGCCAGAAAGUCUGAGUGGAUGUGCCCUACUGAGAGCCAGCCUUGACUUUAAGAGCAAAGAUGUGCUUUCUCGGAGAUCUAGGGCUCUUGCUUUUAUAUUCGACAAGUUGUUUUCAACACUUCAGUCUUUUCAGCUGUUGGGAGAAGGACUGUAAGAUUCCUGCCAACUCUACACAAGAAAUAUUACAGAAGUGCUCAUCACCAAAACAAAUGACUGAUGUGACUGUUGACCUAUGAGUGUCAAAAUUAACUUACCACAAGAGAGAAAAACGUCUUUAAUAUGUUUAAAACAUGUUCUGAAAGGGGACAGAAAGGAUGGAGCCCGAGCACCUAAUAUUGUCAUUUCACUGUCACACAGCCUGUGCCCACAGCAUGAAUUUUCCUAGGAAAUGUCACUCUGAUGCCUUCUAUGUAGAAGAAACUUGAAUUGUCAAAUACUCACCAAACUAGCACAGUCUUCCAAAAACCAGGAAGACCUGGAACCAAACAGAAAAUGAAUAUUCAGCCAAGCAUGAAACUUUCAAAGAAAAUAAACUGCAUCUAUCCCUAUUAAACUCUUUGUUCAUUCUAAAUAAAAACAAUUUAAUUAA